rnacentral:tRNA from 4 species
GCCCGGGUGGUGAAAUCGGUAGACACAGGGGACUUAAAAUCCCCCGGUAGCAAUACUGUGCCGGUUCAAGUCCGGCCUCGGGCACCA